AAACCAUGAACCUCACUGAAGAGGAUCAAAGAUAUCUUUUCCCUUCAAUUCAUCCCUAGGUGCAGCCCAAUCUGCUGAGAACUUCCAGUGUUUUCUAUUUUUGGUUCGGAUUUACAGCAUCUGCAGGUUUUGCUUUUAGAAGAUUCUAGCAGAUUAUGUAUUGCAUUGAACGGCUGCUGCUAAGUUAACAAAUCUCACAUUAUAUGCUGGUGAUAAUAAACCUGAUUCUGAUACAAUAUUAAAAACCUUUAUAUAACCACUAAACCAAUACCAGUUGACAUCUGCAAUGUUGAAACAACUCAAGCAAUGAGGAGAUGGCAGAGGAUACAGGACCACCCAUCCAUGGUCACUCCAUUGCAACCGAAAGGCUGAAGUCACAGUAUUUGCUGGAGGUUAGAUGAAAGAGGAGAGAUCUCAUCGAAACCUAUAAAAUAUUGAAAGACCUAGAUAGAGUGAAUGUGGAGAGGACAUUUCCAAUCGUGAAGGAGUCCAGGACCAGAGGGAACAGCCUCAGAGUAGAAGGAUGUCCCUUCACAACAGAGAUGAGGAGGCAUAUUUUCAGCUAGAGUGUGGUGAAUCUGUGGAAUAUGUCACCACAGAAGGCUGUGAAGGCCAAGUCACUGGGUAUAUUUAAAGUGGAGUUUGAUUCAUUAGUAAAGCUGUCAAAAGUUAGAGAGACAGCAGAAGAAUGGUGGUUGAGGGGGAAAAUACAUCACCCAGAAGCAGUUAGUGGAACAGGCUCAAUGGGCUGAAUGGCCCAAUUCUACUAAGUCUUAUGGAAGCUACCUCAUGGCAAGAGGACGAGAGAAAGCGCAUCCACGAUCAGCUGUGCUGAAAUGUAACAGCUGUGACUUUGUGUCAUCUUUAAUAUAGACAUCAGGGUAAUUUAACAACAGUAAACCACCAGAAGUCUCCUCUGUAACCUAACUAGCAAAUCAAGAACAGACACAACAAAAUAAAGAUCCUCAUGCAGAGCUGACACCCUGUGAUAUGUAGAUCAUGCUUAACGACAGUGUCUGAAUUGCGGAAUAACCCAGCAAAGCCAACUUGUUGGCACCGAAUUGUUCUUGUCAGUGGAAAUACAUAACUUUGGCAUCUCAACAUUAAUGCAGAAGAAUGGUGAGUUCCUGAAGUUUCCUCAAUUAAUGAUCUGCUUCAAAAAGAUAACAACCCAAAAAUGAUGGAUCUGUGACAACUUAAAUCCCAUGGUCAGCAGGCUUUCUGUGGCCUUCUCCCACCAGAUGUAAGUAGCCACUUCAAAUUAAGUUCCAGUGUUCAACAAAUAUUAUUUAACCAUAAACAGUGCUUCAUAAAGUACAAUUAAUCAAAUACAGUGGCAGAACAAUCUAAAUAGAACAAUGACACUAUAACUGAACUUCAUUUAUUUAUUUAGAGAUACAGUGCGGAACAGGCCCACUCAGCCCUACAAGUUGCACCACCCAGCAACUCACUUAAUUAACCCGAGCUUAAUCACAGGACAAUAUACAAUGACCAGUUCCCCUGCUAACUAGUAUAUCUUUGGUCCUUGUGAGGAAACUGGAGCACCCAGAGAACACCCACACAGGGAGAACGCUGGAAUUGAACUCCAAACUCCGGGACACGCUAAUCACUGUGCUACUGUGGCGCCCGUCAUAUGUCUCAAAUUUGCUUUGCCAAUAAAUUAGCCUAACACAUCACUAUUUUCUUUGCAUCUUUUGAAUAAGUUUGUGCACAUACAAGAGAGAGAGGAGUACCAAGUUUCUGGGUGUGCACUUGACAGACAAUCUCACCUAGUCCCUCAACACCUCUUUUGUCAUGAAAAAACAGCAGUGUCUCCACGACCUGGGGAGUUUGAGGUGAGCAAAACUACCCUCCCCCAUUCUAACCAAUCUUUACAGGAGCAUUAUCGAGAAUAUUCUGACCAGCUGUAUUGCCGUCCAAUAGGGGAGAUACAAAGCAUCAGACUGCAAAUCCCUACAAAGGACUGUGGCAACUGCUGAGAGGAUCACUGGGGUCUCUCUUCCACCCAUAUUUAAUAAGAAUGCUGCGUACAGAAGACUCCAAACAUGCUUAAUGAUCAUUCCUGUCUGUCCAACAAUGUCUUUGACCUACUCCCAUUAGACAGGAAAUAGCAGAGCGUUAGGACGAGAACUGUUAGGAUGGGAAACAACUUCAUCACCCAAGCCAUGACAUUACUGAACUACCUACCACCACCAAUGUCUCAUCACACAUAAAGUGCCCCAUAGCAUUAUAACUCCGUAAUUUGUAAAUGCGCCUUAUUAUUUGUUCAUCUACUUGUGGUCAUAUUACAUUAUAUAUUGUGUCUGCACUGUGUUGUGCACCUUGAUCUGGAGGAACAUUGAUUUGUUUGGCGGUAUAAUGUGUGUAUGCAUGAAUGACAAUAAGCUGAACUUGAAAUUCAUUAUGUUGAAAACCUAAUAUUUGCUUUAGUGAUAUGAAGACCAUAUGAGAGAUCUUCAAAGUCACGUUCAAAUUUUCUAUUUAUCUUUCAAACUUUACUUUUAGAGGUGGAUUUUAAGAAAAGUGCAAUCAGGAAGGUGCAUCAGCUAACUGGGUUUGGUUAAGUCACACAUUUGGUUGCUGCUAAUCCUAGGUACACUGGAGUGCAUAUGGAAUCUUCUGAUAAUUUAAUACUUUAGUGCUGAUGUGGAUCAAAGCUGAUACACAUCAAGGCAGCACUAUUACUACAUAUUCUGUUUUUCUUAGCUGAACUACUGAAUAAUCUUUUCAUAUUAAUGAUCAUAUUAUAUACUACUUAAAAUUAUUUUCGGUUUCAGAGUAAGUUAAAAUUAACCAGCUUAGUUUCAAGUUAAGAAAUACAGUUAAUUCUAAAUUCAUGUAAUUGAUUUUCUGUUUAUUAUUUAC